AUUUGGAAUUUUUGUUGUUGUUGUUGUUUAGUCACGAAGUCAUGUCUGACUCUUUGCAACCCCAUGGAUUGUAGCCCACCAGCCUCCUCUGGCCAUGGAAUUCUCCAGGCAAGAAUAGCGGAGCAGGUUGCCAUUUCCUACUCCAAGGGAUCCUCCAGACCCAGGGACUUAACCUGAGUCUCCUGCAUUGGUAGGCGGAUUCUUUAACACUGAGCCAUCAGGGAAGCCCAUUUGGGAUUGGAAUAAAGGAUUGGAGAUACUUUAUAUUCAUUGCGAUAACUUUGAUAAAGACAGAAAAGCAUCCUCAGAAACAAGCAAAAGGAUAGGGCAGCCCUGGUGGACUCUGCGUGGGCUGCCAUCACUUCACCGUCGUCCAUGGCCUGUGAGAGACUCGCCAGCGUGUGGAACGCCCGGCAGAGCUUUUACUUUUUCAACCUUGGCCACAAUGACUGGGAAACUGGGGCGGCUGUUCUCUCUCAAGAGCAAGCUGGAAAACACCAGAAGCAAAAUCUUGAUAAACAUUCUCCUGAGGCAGCUGCAAUUCCUACCUAAGUCAUGUCUACCCCAAAAUGUGUGUUUUUAUGUGUGUUUCCUGAAAGACUUUUGAAGGUGAGGAAUUUUACAGGGCAGUUCUCCUUUCAAUAUUCUGAAUUCUGUUGUGCAGAACUUAGCCUGAUGUGCUUGACAGCCUUGGUGACAAAAAGCACUAUAUAAAUGCAUCAUCAAUAUAAUAAUAUAAAUUGAAUUAGAAUGUUCAUUCUGUUCUGCCGAGUUUCUUUCCUGAGCUGAUUAUAUCUGAAAUAGCUCUUGUUAGAGGCUUUCUCAUUAUGAGGAACUCACUGUCCUGUUCCAGCCCUCCAUCAGGUACCACCUGUUUGACAUUUUGUAUUCUUUUUUUUUUCCCUAAGUUAAGUAGCCCACAUGAGGAUUUGAAGUGCAGAGUCAUGGCAUUAGAAUUACAACCUGCUGUUUCUCCUGAUUAAGUUUUUCUGUUAGUAAGUUAAGGUUGC
rnacentral:lncRNA from 1 species